CUCAACAAGUUUCAAUCAUCAUACGUGUCAUAAGUGAAGUUAUCACUUUCCAUAAGAUCGUCUCAUGAUCUUUCAUGCUAUCGUUCUUUUCAUACUUUUGAUCAUGGCACAAAGCAAAGCCCUUGACUAAGAAACUCUUUUUUAUAUAGCUCGUAAGCUCGAAUACAUCGGGGGAGAGACUAAAGCAAAAGACUCAAACUAAAAACUAAA
rnacentral:lncRNA from 1 species